GACGAACGCUGGCGGCGUGCUUAACACAUGCAAGUCGAACGGAAAGGCCCCUUUGGGGGUACUCGAGUGGCGAACGGGUGAGUAACACGUGAGUAACCUGCCCUUGACUUCGGGACAACUUCAGGAAACUGGGGCCAAUACCGGAUAGGAAUCCUUGCUGCAUGGUGGGGGUUGGAAAGUUUCGGCGGUUUUGGAUGGACCCGCGGCGUAUCAGCUUGUUGGUGGGGUAGUGGCUUACCAAGGCUUUGACGGGUAGCCGGCCUGAGAGGGCGACCGGCGACAUUGGCACUGAGAUGCGGCCCAGACUCCGACGGGAGGCAGCAGUGGGGAAUAUUGAAGAAUGGGCGGAGGCCUGAUGCAGAAACGCCGCGGGCGGGAUGACGGCCUUCGGGUUGUAAACCGCUUUCAGCAGGAGCGAAGCUUGUGGUGACGGUACCUGCAGAAGAAGCACCGGCUAACUACGUG
rnacentral:rRNA from 1 species